rnacentral:lncRNA from 10 species
GCUGCCGGCCCUGGGCAGUGAGGGGCUUGGCACCCGGGCCAGCAGCUGCGGAGGGUUCGCCGGGUCCCGGCGCUGUGCUCGAAUUCUCGCUGGGCCUCAGCUACCUCCCCGCCGGGCAGGGCUCGGGAUCUGCAGCCUGCCAUGCUUGAGCCUUCCCCCAACGCCAUGGCCUCUUGUGCGGCCUGAGCCUCCCCUACCAGCGCCGCCCCCUGCUCCGCGGCGCCGGGUCCCACCGACCACCCAAGAGCUGAGAAGUGCGGGCGCACAGCGCGGGACUGGCAGGCAGCUCCACCUGCUGCCCUGGUGCGGGAUCCACUAUGUGAAGCCAGCUGGACUCCUGAGUCCAGUGGGACUUGGAGAACCUUUAUGUCUAGCUAAGGGAUUGUAAAUAUACCAAUCAGCACUCUGUCUAGCUCAAGGCUUGUAAAUGCACCAAUUAGCACUCUGUGUCUAGCUCAAGAUUUGUAAAUACACCAAUCAGCACUCUGUGUCUAGCUCAAGGUUUGCACUCUGUAUCUAGCUAAUAUGGUGGGGACUUGGAGAACCUUUAGUGUCUAGCUAAGGGAUUGUAAAUACACCAAUCAGCACUCUCUGUCUAGCUCAAGGUUUGUAAAUGCACCAAUCAGUGCUCUGUGUCUGGCUAAUCUAGUGGGGACUUGGAGAACUUUUGUGCCUAGCUCAGGGAUUGUAAACGCACUAAUUGGCACCCUGUCAAAAUGGACCAAUCAGCUCUCUGUAAAACGGACCAAUCAGCAGGAUGUGGGUGGGGCCAGAUAAGGGAAUAAAAGCAGGCUGCCCGAGCUAGCAGUGCCAACCUGCUCCCAUUCCCGUCCAUGGUGUGGAAGUUUUGUUCUUUUGCUCUUUGCAAUAAAUCUUACUGCUGCACACUCUUUGGGUCUGCAUUGCGUUUAUGAGCUGUGACACUCACCGCGAAGGUCUACAGCUUCACUCCUGAGGCCAGUGAGACCAGGAACCCACCGGGAGGAAUGAACAACUACAGACGUGCUGCCUUAAGAGCUGCAACACUCGCCGUGAAGGUCUGCAGCUUCACUGCCGAAGCCAGCGGGACCACCAGCCCGCCAGAAAGAAGAAAUUCCAAACACAUCCGAACAUCAGAAGGAACAAACUCCCGACACACCACCUUUAAGAACUGUAAUACUGCAAGGGUCUGCGGCUUCGUUCUUGAAGUCAGUGAGACCAAGAACCCACUGAUUCUGGACACACCAGUACUUUGGGAGGCCAAGUAAUUGCAUAUGUUUAUGGAGUAUGAUGUGAUGUUUCAAUACUGUAUAUAUUAUAAAGCAGAUCGCGCUAAUGAACAUAUCCAUCACCUUACAUACUUAUUUCUUUGUAGCGAGAACAGUUUGUUUUUUUAGAGACAGGGUGUGUAAAAUAUUGCCCAGGCUGGUUUUGAACACCUGGGCUAAAGUGAUCCUCCCAUCUCAGCCUCCCAAAAUGCUGGGAUUACACAUGUGAGCUACCGCACCAGACCCUAUAGUGAGAC